ensembl:lncRNA
GGAUAGACAAUGUAAUCACCAUUUUACUGCCAAUUACAAAUAUUGUAAUUGGCAGCAACGUUGGUAUCAAUUUCACUGUGUAAUGAGAUGCCUCCCCUGUACAAAGACAACAAACAAACAUAUUUUUUUAAAUUAUAGCAUCUGAAAAAUAUUCACAACAUUGCCGUACGUAGAGGAUAAUGUUUAUUAGCUGCAGUGGACAUCGAAAUGCAUCUUUACAAGGAAGCAAAUAUAAAGUAAAACUAUAUUUACAGACCGAAAAUACAUAUAUUUUUUUACUUCUAAUAACUCAGUUGAUAAUAAUGUUGAUUUUAACAGUAAAAAACACACAGUAGAGGUUUGUACUGUAGCACACUAAUAAAUCACAAUUCUAAGAUAAAAAUAGUACUUACAUCACCAAAUGGAAUGUUUAUACUUUUGUUGUGCAAAGAGACAUUCCUGCAACUACAUGUUAACAUUCUGAGAAAAUGCUUUCAUUGGAACACCUCUGUAUGCAACGUAUGUACAAGUCCCUCUCGCUCAAAUAUGAAAUGACAUUUUUCAGAGUCAUGCCCAACUGUCAGCCACUUCACCAGUUCACUGCAUAUGCUAAGAUGAACAAGACAUAAAUGCAGGCUCAUUCACCGUACAUGUAAUGAAUUAUGGGUAAUCUUGAAUGAAAACCCCCUUAAAGCUACAAAGAAACAACCACUUCACUCCUAGCGACAGAGCUCUCCCUUCCCUUCAUCAUCCAACAGCUCUUUAAGUUUUCAUCAUAGGUGUCCUGAUGUUGCAUAGCACGGUGCAUGGCGAUUACAGUUGUCUGGUCAAUGGGGUUUGUUUGAGGAGAAGUGGUCCAUGUUAGAGACAGUCUCUCUCUUGUUCUCCAUCUUCUCUCGUAGUCAGUUAGCCAGAGACCAAGGCCCAAUUACGUCCCCUCUGCCUUCUCCUCACCCUCUGUAGGACUCUUCGGUGGGCUUCCAGAGGACGAGCCCUCUCCUCCUUCAUCAUCUGAGAAACACACAGAACAGCAUUCAUUAUUUUCGUCAGAAACAUAUCAUUGAAAAUGCCUCAAGGCCCAUGUAGUGGAAAAUGUCUGCAUUCCAAUUAUAAUCCAAGCUGUGUACUCUCCCCUCUUUUGUGUUGCUUUGUAAGAUAUGGGUGAUAUGUUGCAUUCGCAAGAUAAAAGGAACAUGAGAUUACCAACCUCAGCACAUAACGUAUAGCUCGCUAGCUGACACCUUGAAUAUCAACAGAGACUAAUCAUAGCAUAGACCCUCAACUCAACCGCUUUGUUCAUAUCCAGCAUUUUAAUACAGUUUUGAACACUGACAAAGUGCAAUACGCCACAUAGAGAUGAGAAUCUUCUGAGGAAAUGGCCAAAUACCGACUGCUUCCAGCCAGACAC